rnacentral:lncRNA from 1 species
AACUACCGCAUCCCCAGUGAGAGGGCUGUAUUGUCCCAAGCCAGUGCCACGCGUUCUGACAGGUGAUGUGCUUUGGCCAAAUGCACUUCAGAGAAAGUCACACCUGCCCUUGCGAGCAAAGACCUCGGGAGCCGUUCUCGUGUUUAUGCCGAGGGGAAGGUAUGUCCUAGCUAGGGGUUGUUUGUUCGUUCGGCCUGCACCCCAGAAUGAAGACGUCUGGAGACCCAGCCACAACCGGCAGCAGCUGACAGACUGAUGACCAGAACUGGCUCUGGAAGGCUGCUUCUCCCCACUUUCUGGACACUGGCAGUGCUUGGCGUGUGAAGAACUUUUCACUAAAGCUUGCAGGUAAAUGAUGGGACAGUAAGUGAAGGAGCUAAUUCUAGGCCUGCUCUGCAGAUCCUUCCCUCUGGGAACUUGGUGAAGCCACUCCACAGCUCUGAGACUCAGUGUCACAUUCUGUCAGUGUGAAUAAUGGUCUCCUUGUGAUAAAGUUUUUUGAGGAAAAAUAAAAUAAUAAUUACAGCUAACA